rnacentral:rRNA from 1 species
AUCGAACGCUGGCGGCAUGCCUUACACAUGCAAGUCGAACGGCAGCACGGGUGCUUGCACCUGGUGGCGAGUGGCGAACGGGUGAGUAAUACAUCGGAACAUGUCCUGUAGUGGGGGAUAGCCCGGCGAAAGCCGGAUUAAUACCGCAUACGAUCUACGGAUGACAGCGGGGGACCUUCGGGCCUCGCGCUAUCGGGUUGGCCGAUGGCUGAUUAGCUAGUUGGUGGGGUAAAGGCCUACCAAGGCGACGAUCAGUAUCUGGUCUGAGAGGACGACCAGCCACACUGGAACUGAGACACGGCCCAGACUCCUACGGGAGGCAGCAGUGGGGAAUGUUGGACAAAGGGCGAAAGCCUGAUCCAGCAAUGCCGCGUGUGUGAAGAAGGCCUUCGGGUUGUAAAGCACUUUUGUCCGGAAAGAAAUCCUUGGCUCUAAUACAGUCGGGGGAUGACGGUACCGGAAGAAUAAGCACCGGCUAACUACGUG